UCACCCUUCCAUGAACAAGGAAACCACCCUCCUAAUUUUCUUCUGUUUCACUGAUGUGGUAUUUUUCUCUGCUCAGAUUUUCUCUUUGCUCCGGAGAUGCUACUGUUCAACGAGAUAGUGGAUGAUUGGGGGUUUAAAGGGUGGUUGUGUUUAGAUGAUCUUCAAGUACAUGUCUAAUGAGGCUCAGUUUUUGAAGGCGUACGAUGAGCUACGGCGGCUAUGGUGAUCGGAGGUUUUCUUUCUGCAGUGUGCUCUUUCUUGCUUCUUCGAUUUUUCGCUUGAUUAGAGGAGAUCAGAGAGAGAGAAAGGCACACAAGGCGGGUCAAGAAACUCAUAGUGGGUAGUCUACGAUCUUCUCUCCUCAUCUUCUCACAUCGUGAGGUUUGAGGUUUGUCUUUUCUUUAAUCCAGUCAUUCAUGAAUCUUUGUAUAGAGGGUAAAAUGAAAUUAGGUUGAACAUAAUAUUUAAUUUAUAAAAAAUGUUAUUGAAGAAGUUGGAUCUUCAAUGUGUUAAGCUACUACUAUUUGUGUGUAGAGAGGAAUUGUAAAUAAUGAGCAUAAUAAUGAACAUGAUUUGAGUUAGGUAACACGUGAUUUGGUGUUCAAUGGAAUAUUAGUAGAUUGUACAUAUGUGCAGACCAUGAACCCUCUCCACAACUAACUUACAGGUCUUUCAUAAUAAUUAUUCUAAUCUGGUUAUUGGUUAAAUUUCAAGCGAAAUAGGGGUACGAUCUAAUAUGUACGAAUUGUUUGUUAGUUUUGGUUCAAGUCCGUCUGAUUCACUAUCCAGGUAUGGUUUAAUGGUACCUCUUUCUUCUUUAGCCGACUAAUGUAAGAUCUGAAAUUUUAUGUCUUUUAAAAUUUUCUGGCAAUGUAUACAGUGGUCCGCGACGGUUGCUGCUACUUGAUUUGUUCCAUUUGAUUGUUAUAAAGUUUGAAUCAUUGGUCUCCAGUCAACUCCGUUUGGCAAUUAAGGAAAAACUCAAGUUAAAAGAUGAGUAGCUAUAUAUCUUUUGUAGAUAAGAGUACCGAAGGAAUGACCCGGUAGCAAAAGAGAACCUACAUGGAGGAGUUUGAUGACAAUGGAGUUUGAUGACAAUGGAAUUUGCAAGUGAAGGGUUAUUUGAAGGUCAGAGGCAUCUCUUGAAGACAAUCAGGAGAACUGUGGUGCAACAUGUAUCGAAGCAGGCUAAUACGGGAUCGAGGAAGAACUUAAGGACUGAAAAGAGAAAUUUGCUAACGGCAGAAAUAGUAAGGCUAAGGCAGCUACAUCAGCAUUCAGAAGCGUUAAGCAACCUUGAGUUCCGACGGAUGUACAUAGAUAACUAUGCACAGAAUGAACAUGAACAUAUUGAGAUUGGUUAUAAAAAACGGCUAAUGAGGGCAUCAAACUAUUAUGUUUCAGUAAUUAUGUUGCGUGUCUUGAUGAG